UUAAAACCCAGUCACAUUACACAGUCUAUGAGACAAAUGAACUGAUAUUUUUUUCUAAGUAAAACUGAAAUACAUUGACUAAAGAUGAUUAUGAGCGAGUUUGGUCCAGAUUAUCUUGAGGGUUUCAGAGGAAAAUUUAUUUCAUCAAAAGUUGAUAGCGACGGACGACGACGACAUAAGCAUAGUGAUGACAGUAGCUCACCUGACUUCAAACAAAGACCAGCAUACGUAAGAUUCCUAAUAUGGGUAGUCAGUACAGAAUGAUUUUACAAACAAUACUUAGGUACAGACAUUACAUAGAAUACUAGAGAAUAGGAAACUAUUUUUCGCAUGAAAUAUCCAGUUAUGUUACAAAAUAAACAACCUUAUUAAAUAAAACGGUAAAUCUAGAAAGUGAAU